rnacentral:rRNA from 1 species
CGGCAGCACGGGAGCAAUCCUGGUGGCGAGUGGCGAACGGGUGAGUAAUACAUCGGAACGUGUCCUGUAGUGGGGGAUAGCCCGGCGAAAGCCGGAUUAAUACCGCAUACGCUCUACGGAGGAAAGGGGGGGAUCUCAGGACCUCUCGUUAUAGGGGCGGCCGAUGGCAGAUUAGCUAGUUGGUGGGGUAAAGGCCUACCAAGGCGACGAUCUGUAGCUGGUCUGAGAGGACGACCAGCCACACUGGGACUGAGACACGGCCCAGACUCCUACGGGAGGCAGCAGUGGGGAAUUUUGGACAAUGGGCGCAAGCCUGAUCCAGCAAUGCCGCGUGUGUGAAGAAGGCCUUCGGGUUGUAAAGCACUUUUGUCCGGAAAGAAAUCCUUUGAGCUAAUACCUCGGGGGGAUGACGGUACCGGAAGAAUAAGCACCGGCUAACUACGUGCCAGCAGCCGCGGUAAUACGUAGGGUGCAAGCGUUAAUCGGAAUUACUGGGCGUAAAGCGUGCGCAGGCGGUUCGCUAAGACAGAUGUGAAAUCCCCGGGCUUAACCUGGGAACUGCAUUUGUGACUGGCGGGCUAGAGUAUGGCAGAGGGGGGUAGAAUUCCACGUGUAGCAGUGAAAUGCGUAGAGAUGUGGAGGAAUACCGAUGGCGAA